rnacentral:rRNA from 1 species
AAAUUGAAGAGUUUGAUCAUGGCUCAGAUUGAACGCUGGCGGCAGGCCUAACACAUGCAAGUCGAACGGUAACAGGAAGAAGCUUGCUUCUUUGCUGACGAGUGGCGGACGG